rnacentral:rRNA from 1 species
AGAGUUUGAUCCUGGCUCAAAGUGAACGCUGGCGGUAGGCCUAACACAUGCAAGUCGAACGGCAGCACAGUAAGAGCUUGCUCUUAUGGGUGGCGAGUGGCGGACGGGUGAGGAAUACAUCGGAAUCUACUUUUUCGUGGGGGAUAACGUAGGGAAACUUACGCUAAUACCGCAUACGACCUACGGGUGAAAGCAGGGGAUCUUCGGACCUUGCGCGAUUGAAUGAGCCGAUGUCGGAUUAGCUAGUUGGCGGGGUAAAGGCCCACCAAGGCGACGAUCCGUAGCUGGUCUGAGAGGAUGAUCAGCCACACUGGAACUGAGACACGGUCCACACUCCUACGGGAGGCAGCAGUGGGGAAUAUUGGACAAUGGGCGCAAGCCUGAUCCAGCCAUACCGCGUGGGUGAAGAAGGCCUUCGGGUUGUAAAGCCCUUUUGUUGGGAAAGAAAUCCAGCCGGCUAAUACCUGGUUGGGAUGACGGUACCCAAAGAAUAAGCACCGGCUAACUUCGUGCCAGCAGCCGCGGUAAUACGAAGGGUGCAAGCGUUACUCGGAAUUACUGGGCGUAAAGCGUGCGUAGGGUGGUUGUUUUAAGUCUGUUGUGAAAGCCCUGCGCUCAACCUGGGAACUGCAGUGGAAACUGGACAACUAGAGUGUGGUAGAGGGGUAGCGGAUCUCCCGGUGUAGCAGUGAAAUGCGUAAAGAUCGGGAAGGAACAUCCAUGGCGAAGGCAGCUACCUGCACCAACACUGACACUGACGCACGAAGCGUGGAGAGCAAACAGGAUUAGAUACCCCUGUACUCCACGCCCUAACGAUGCGAACUGGAUGGUGGGUGCUAUUUCGCCACGCAGUAUCGAGCUACGCGUUAGUCCGCCGCUAGAGAGUACGUCGCAGACUGAAACUCAAUGUAUGACGUGCUCGACAAGCGGUAGUAGCGAAGUAUCGUGAUCUUAAU